CCCAAAGAAAAAAACAAAUGUUACCCAAUAGGCAAACAAUGCUGAGAGUUCACUUCCUCUAACUCUGUAGUUAAGUUACUCACUCAGUAUAACAUCACCCUCCUGCCAGGGGUUGAAGUCAGGAAGUAGUUUAUUUUCGCUGAAACUGAAGGGGGAAGUUAAAGAGAAAAAUAGCUGCAACUUGGUCAAUUCAGGAAAACCAGGUACGAAAAAAGAGGAGCAAGUUAAAGGGAAAGCCAGCUCGGAUUUGCUCACCAGUAAAAGGCAAAAAUCCCAGUGUUAUUCAUCUGCAUUUGGUGUGAAAGACAAAAGCUCAACUGGGAUCUGAGGCUUUCUGUGUCAGAGGGCAAGGAGUCAAUGGGGUUAUGAGGAAGUAAGACCACUUGAGACAUCAAAGAAAAGUAGAUCAAAUCACUAGACUCCUCCAAACAGGAGUGGGUGAAGACAAAAAGUGGAGAGAAUCCAGAGGGAAGAGAGGAGUAGGGAAAAUGGUGGAAAGGGAAGGUUUUUGAGAUGGAAGGCAGAGAAUGGGAACAAAAGAAGAAAAAGCUGUUUGUUUCAAAUCAAUAUUCUCCAAGAGGAUGUCUUGUUUCCCCAGGGAUAUUCUGAGGGACUCACAGGAUCAGAGCUGCGACACUUCUAACAUAUGAAUUCUCUCAAUUCUGAUGCCCUUUGACCUCUGCCACACAAUGCCAAGACAAACCCAGACCCCAGGCCCUGGAAACAGAGGAGGGGCAGGACGUGAUAGAGCUUCAGCAACAUGGAGAGGAGAUAGCCGGUCUGGCUAGGAUGGAAGAAAUGUACAUGGAGAAGAAAGACAGAAGAACCAUCACUGAGCACUAAACUAAUCAGCCAUAAUGUGUAAAUUGACUGGCAAGCCUAUCACCACCUUGAUAACAGAUGACAUUAAAGAGAAAGUAUCAAUGUGAGGAUUAAAUGGGAUGAAAAAUAAAACAUCUGUCGGAGUGCCUGGAAUAUGGUACACAAAUAUCCAAGAUUGGAAAGAAGAAAGAAAAUGACGACAGAAUUUUGCAGUCUACAAGGCAAACACUGCCAUUCAUGUAGUUAUGGAGUUCCUACUAUGUGCAGACAAUGGGAAACUUUACGAAGGGUUUUAAAAAGCAGCAGGUUUAAGAGCUGACCAUAUCUGAAAGACUCUAGAAUAGCAGAGGAUUGAUUAAAGGUCUGUGGCCACAGAUUGGAUGUGUUGAUUUUAUUUCCCCAAAGGUAUCCACAUAGCAACUUGGCAGUACACACAUAUCCCAAAUAUAUGUACACAGUGUUUACAGAAAAUACUAAUUGUACCCUUACCUAAAAUGUUAGGUCCCAUUUUCAUUUUAAAGACUCAUUAUGCUUUUCAUGAACUAACACUUUUGUUCAUUUCAAUUCUGUCAUGAAUUCGAAAGAAGGACACAGCAAAUAGGUACUUAACUAAAGUAAGUGCUUUCUCCCAUGGUUUUAUCAAUCCAAGUCUAUGGACAUAAUACAGAAUCAAGAAUCCAAGGAAACUGCUCUGAAUUUCACUGUAAGCAUAGCUCAUUUUUUUGACCUGUUGAUUGCAGUUAAUUUAACGUCACGACCUGCACCUCAGAAUCUCUCAUGUCCCCUGCAGCUUUGUCAAGAUGCUUUGUAUAUAGCUGGUACCCAGAGAAGGUUUGCCACAUUGCACGGAGUUGAUCACCCAUUUUAUUCACUGGAUUUGGCUUUGAGCAACUUACACUUUUUUCUCUCCAAAAAUUAAGUCCACCCACGAAGGAAAAAGGCAGAAGGAUGCUGUGGCAAAAAUGCUAUCCUGGAAAACAGAUCUUGGCCCUGGUCCCAGCUCUCUGUGACUUUGGACACAUCAGUUGAUCUUUUUAGAUCAAAUUUCCCCAUAAAAGGGGGUACUAGACAAGAUGCAUGUGCCAGACUGCCAAGGCCAAGGCACACCCUAAGCCACUCAUAGUAAUAUCCCUGGAACUGUAGACCCUUGCAGAGAGAUUAUAGAAGUGAUUUUGAAUAAUUAUUGAGUUAAGUGCUAGCAUUCCAGCAUGACCGCUUCAAAAGAGGUAAUGCAUAUUUUUUUUUGUAUUUUUUUGGCUUUUUUUAAAGUUACAUUACUUUAGUGUUAUAUGUCAUAUAGUCAUUAGGAAUUCCAAGAGAGCAAAUGUCAACAAAGGUCUGAAGUUGUUUGGCAUUUUAUCAAUCAUUAUUUAGAGUUUUCUUUUUUUCUUUUUUUUUUCUUAAUGUGGUUAGGGACACAGAGGUUCAUGUGAUGUAAUAAGAAAGAAAUAAAGGAAGCUUUAUCUGCCGCUCUUUCAACCUCAUCCACUCAACACUUACCCCGUGACAGACCCCAAUACUCUUAAUGAAUUCCCAAGGUUACGAAAGAACUUGGAAGAUCUUACAUUCCUACAUGGUGAUUACAGAGGCUCACAUUUUGCCAAGUCAUAUGCAGGUGGCUGAAAAGUAAGUUUACUUUAUCUGCAUUUCAUAUUACACUUGUUCUUUCUUAUGAAUGUUUCUUUCAUAGUCAUGCAAAGUACUCAAUCAGUAAUUCCCCACCAAAAUGGUUGUUACAUAAGCGGCCGUGCAACAAUGCAUAUGUCAGCUCAGAUUCAUGUCAGAGAAAGUUCUCUAGUUUAUAUAACUCACUCCCCAGCAGCCAGUACACAGUUCAAAAAGUGUGGGCCUUUACAUUAUGGCGGGAGGGAGGUUAUUUUGUUUUGUUUGUUUUUUUUUAACACAUCACAUAAAUACACUUCCUUUCUCCUUUGUAACGUAUGGGAUACAUGGAAUUCCUAACUCACACAGAUCUCACUGUAGACCCAAUGAAUGGCACGGAGCCGACACAAACACCCACACACUUGUCUCAGUUACAGAUCUCUGCUAAAGACCAGAAGUUGGCCAUUACUAUGAAUAUACACUUCUGUUGGAUUUCUAUGGUAUUUGGUUUCAUUAGAUUGUAUGUUAAGUUAAAUAUGUUUUUUAAAGUUUCAUUCUCCUACCUCAAGUUACGGUGCAUCAAGGGGUCUCAGAGAGAAGUGGAGCUGCCACCUCAAUGUCCCGACCCCAGAGAGGAGCCUCUCAAGCCACCCCAAGGCAGCUGAGCCCCAGCUCGCACCAGAUCACUGUGGAGCAGAACCAAUUUUUAAAUGUCUUCAUCUGGUCCCUCCUACUUUUAUGGUGCUCUGGGGGUGGUGAGAAUCGGGAUGCACUGAAAGCUGCUGGGACAUCUGACUCUUUAUUUUCUUGGCUCUACGUGUCUUAACUCUGCACCAAUCCUCCCGACUGUGCAGAAUUUCACUUUGGAGAGCAGAGGCAAACGGAGAUUCACACAGAGGGGCAGGAGCCGUCAAUGCUGUCUAGUGAGAGGAGAGAAGAGGCAUUGUAAGUCCCCAUAGCACUGCUGUUGGGCUACCCUGCCAGUCAAUGCCACUUUUCCCACAGGCUCCAGCCUCAACUUCCCCUGGUGCAAUAUGAUGAUGGGAAGAAGGGCUCCUAAGAGGAAACUGAUUUAAGUAUCUCUGUUUUUCAGAAAACACUUCCAAUUGCUCUCUCAAGAAUGCGUUUCUAUUUCAUGAGUUGAUGUCAUAUUUUUAGGGGGAGGGAUGUAUGGAGAGAGAAAACUUUCAAAUAUCUGGAAAUCAGUGGUAUGAUGAGCCCUGUUCUCUGCUGCUCCAAGUACAAUACCAAAGCAUGUGGUGGAAGUGAUGGGACAGAUUUGGUUCCAUAUUAGAACUUCCUACUUGUAUGUUGAAUUUUAACGGAUGGCUGGGAGUAACAUCCACUUUACGGAGGUAUAUAAGCAAGCUCCAGACAGUAACUUGGUAUGGAGACUAUGCCAAGGAUCCCAUUGUCAGAAGGGAAGUAUGGUGUUGGGGAAGGAUAUUUCUCCCUCCCCUCCCCAUAGUGCCAUCCUCUGCUUAUAGAGGAGGAAAUAGCUACCCAAGCUUUAGCCCCUCCCGCUGCCCUAUGGAAGGAAUACAUUCCACUCUGAACUAAAGCUGGCAUCUUUGGUGCCACAUUUUAACAGAGGGUCGAGUUACUGUAUCUUGAGAAAGACAUGGGUACGUCAUGCUUCCUUCCACUAUCUGUACCCACUCAAAGUGAAUCGUUCCCCACUGUUCUCUUUAAAUUUUUGCUUCAUGUAGCAGAGAUUCAGGGUCUCGCUCCCCUUCUCCUCCUGACACAAAAGGCAGUCAGACUGAACAGUGGGAUAAGCCCUGAAGAUGGCUGGGAACAGCCACCGGUGGAAAGGGAACCCUUCUUUGCUGCCUUUCUCAUUGCCCCAGCACUGCUAAGUGCAGCAGAUUGGCCUUUUUCACAUUGCAGGGAUGAGAUCCUCAGGAUUUGAGAGGGUUCAUCUGGCUUCCAGGAUUAAACUGUGUUUUCAAAUCGAUCUUUUGACAAAGCCCAACAAUAGAGUUAUUUCUGUUUACCCAUGCAUUUCUAUUAACCCAAGGUGGUGCCUCCUUUCCCACUCAGCUAUCAAUCUUUGUAUGUAUAAUCAAACCCCCAAAUAUAUCUCCAACCAAACUUUCACAACUACAGUGGCACACUCACACAGAGUGAUCUAAAUGGAACACGGGUUUUCUAUAACCACAACCAAACCAUAAACGGCAUUUUAUAUACAUUAUCAUCCAGAAAGCAAUCAGAUUUUUUCAUAGCAAAUGGUAAGAUAUAAUAAAAGGAAAUUUGAGAAUUAUCAUAUAACUUAUAAUGUCUCUUUUAGCCCUAAGGUCCUAAGAUUCAGUGACAUGUGGUGUUUUCUCUUUUUCCUACCACUUUUUCAGCUUAAUUAUUAUCUACAGAGAUUAAAAACACAACUAAAAUUUCUGCAGAUUCACAGUGCUAUUUCAGAAUAGAUUUUACCCCUUAGUACCUUCUAUUUAAUCAAUUAAUGAGAAUACUUUGGAGCCCACUGCAGAAACUAUAAAUUCCAAAUGGUUCCUCAGAACAUGUCAUCAUCAAACCAGUUAGGCUGGCGUUGGUAAAUACCACAGCCUGCAGUUGCCAUGUGUUACAAAAACAAUAAACAGAUACCCUUCAUACCUCUCCCUUCCCUAAAACAAUUAUUCCUAUAAAAGUCUGUCUCUCCAGAUUUUUUGUUGUGGUGUUUCUGAUACCAGUACAAUCAGAAAGUAAUGAAAGUGUUCACUGAAAGGAAGUUUUCACUGAGCAUUGCAGGCCAAUGAGAAUGCAGAUUAACUCAAAUAAACUUUGGAAUGCCAGCCAAACCCAUGAAACUUGUCAGCAGUUCAUCUACUGAGAGUGGUUAUGCUUUUUCAGUAGUACCUUAUCCUGAAAUAACCUGAUGGAAAAGCCAGUGUCGGAUGACACAUGACAUCAAGUGUUCAAUGCAAAUUCUGCUGGCAUACUAUCCUGUUUGACUCCCUUGCUCUUGAGCCUUCCACAGUUGGUAAUAAGGAACUGAGUACCUUUGCAAUCUCCAGUAAAACAUGUGUGAUGGAAAUGUAAUUCCUUAGGGAAGCAAUUCCCAAUGGCAUACAUAGAUUUGAUUUUUGGGUUGAAAAGUAGUAAAUGACGAAUUGAAGUUUCUUUUUCUCUACUUAAAAACUAUUCUUGACAUUAAUUUUACUUGUAUUUGUUAACCAGUUUACAUUUUAUUUUGUUACUGAGACACUCAAAAGUGUCUAUAUUUUAGUCAAAGCUAAAACUGAAAGACUUUAGCAAAUUGACUUUUCUCUUUCUCCCAACAAACAUUAACUCAGUAUUUUACCUAGCUUUAUUUUCAAAUAUGGAGUUUUAUAGCACCUUGAUUUAUAGCUGGGCGUAAGAAAAGGUUAUGUCAGCAUUUACAUUAUAAGGCCAUGGUUUUGUGGUUUAUAACUAAGCCAUAAAAAUAAUUCUGACUAAAAUUUGGAAUGCCAGUUUCCACCUUGAAACGCAAGUGUGUCCCUAGCUGUAUGACCACACACACACACACACACACACACACACACAUCAGAAUUCAACAACUGCUGUUUUGUAUAAUACAUUUAUUCAAUAUAUUGCUUUGAUUAAAAAUGAACUCAAAGAAAGUCAAGGCUAUGAAGUGAAUUCAAACAAAGCUGUCAUCUAAUGGUAACAACUUAUAUCCUAAGAUAUAUUUUAGUAGAUUUGAAAGUUGAUUUAAUGACAAAAGAAUUUACUGUAUAGUUUUCAUAGUUAAAGAAUAAAGGACAGAAAGAUGAAGUGAGACCUCCACACACAAAAAAAUAGCCUUUUCUUAAUAAGAAAUGUUUGCAACAUUCUUCCACGCUGUAUGGUAGAUAUUCUCUGAAUCUCUUUGCAGAUGUGAUCUAACGUCCUUGAACACAUUUAUUACAAUCCAUCAUCUACAUGGCAACAGUCAGGGCCAUGCUCAUAAACCAGAACUGGUGCUAGAUCUGGUAAGUCAUUAAGCAAACAUAUUCCUGUGUUGUGCGUGGCGUGCAUGCCCACUGCCUGCCUAUAAAACGGAAAUAAGAUUUCUGAUUUGCAAAUUACCUCCUAAGACAUGUAAAGCUAGCUCCUUUAAUCCACAUUACUCAUUUUUGUAUUUUGACUGUUUCAAAUGCUAAAACAGACCUGAAUACAGUUUCCACAGUUCUCUUUAUAAUUAUUGUAUUUUUCAUUUACAUGAUCAUGAAACCUGUUAGCAAGUGAGAAACAGAAUCAUUUUCACUGAGACAAAAAAUAUUGAGAAUUAGGGGGAGAAACUCUGAAGCAAUAUAAACAACAGAGUCUAAUCUUAUCAAAGAGAGAAGGCAGUUGGUGAAUCUGAAAGAUCACUUACUUACCACUCAAUCAUAGAACUUAUACCCCCAAAUAGGAUUUAAGAAAGAAAAAAGCAAUUUAGUAGGAACUGGAAGUUAUAGGGCAUAGGUCUGCUUUAGUUGGUGACAAAAAUUAUGCCUCAGAGGUUAAGAGCAUGGAUUAGGGUGCUGGGUUGCCUGGUUUAAAUCCUAGCUCUGGCACUUACUACUGCAUGGUCCUUGACCAGUUAUUUAACUACUCUGUGCCUCGGCUUCCCAGUGUGGAAAGCAGAAAAACAGUAUCUCCCUUACAGAGAGGCUUUAAAGUUUAAAUGCAUUAACAAAGGGAAAAUCCUUUCAAUGUUGACACAUCAUGAGUGUGACAUAAGUAUUACCUAUUAUUUUUAUUAUGUGACCAAAUGUGGAAGAAAAAUUCUAUAAGAAAGUAGUAACAUUGUUUAGUCUUUCAAAAAUCAUAUAUUCUCCUCCAAUCCUGGCUCUCUGCAAUUCAAGAAAUCCUAACAAAUAGAAAACCUUUGUACACAGGAGAAAACGGAGAUGAGCAAAGGCAAUAUUUGGCUUAUUUGUUAUAACCCUAAUAAAACAAGACUGCUUGAAGAAAUAGACCAAAUUGUGGAAUGUUUAACAUUGAUCCAGGACUGGCUCUUCUGAGGAAAAGAUAUAAUAUUUAUCAUGUGGCCAAUUUUGUCUGUGAAGAUAAGGAGGAACUAAUCGGUCUCAACUUCAUGAUGUUGCUUAAAGGAGCAUAUAAAUGUACGAUCAUAAGUAUCCUUUAAAUGAAGGGGUUGGUUUUAUGACUGCAGAAGUGAGAAAGAGUAAGGUCAUUUAGCCUGAGCAACACAGCAAAACCUUGUCUCUACUAAAAAUUAAACAAAACAACCAAAAAAUCACUCAGGUGUGGUGGCGCAUGCCUGUGGUCCCAACUACUCAGGAGGCUGAGGUGGGAGGAUUGCUUGAGCCUGAGAGGUGGAGGUUGCAGUGAGCCUUGAUUGCGCCACAGCACUCUAGCCUGGGUGACAGAGCAAGACUGUCAAAAAAGGAAAGAAAAGAAAGAAAAGAAAAAGAAAGAAACUAAAACAGAAAGAAAAGAAAGAAAGAAUGGGAGAGAGAGAGGAAGGAAGGAAGGAAGGAGAAAGAAGA
rnacentral:lncRNA from 1 species